UCCUCCCCGUCGGGGAAUCGAACCCCGGUCUCCCGCGUGACAGGCGGGGAUACUCACCACUAUACUAACGAGGACCGAGCUAUACACAGCGUUCUCCAAACCCUUGAUCUGAUACCUUCACCGAGUUCAGCGUGCUACCAGCGAUGUUCCUGGGGAUUCUGUCCUUCCGACCACUAAGAAAUGCUGUCUCGAAACCCAUGCACGUUCUAGACUCUAACUGAGCGUUAGGCCCCAGGAGGGUAGAAACGAGCAGGAGAGACCGAGAGACAGACGGCCUCCAAGGCUGCAGAGACUUAAGUUCUGAAAGUCCCUGGGCUCUCCGAAACGCUCCCUAGAUAGGUCCCACCCCAUUUCACUACCUGUCAUCCACUGCUAUAGGUUGACUGGCAUCAAUCAAACCGAAACCAGGCUCUGGCGGCCGAGGAGAGGCAUCCAGCAGGAAGGAGGGGAGUAGAAAGUGAAUGUCUUGCCGAAGUCUGGAGGUGCCUGCGCUCUUCCUGGCACACCAGGAGGGACUGCGCACUGUGAGCCUCUUCCUGCCGUCGGGGUAUCCACUCAGAACAAAAGAGCUGACUGCACACCUCCUUCAAGCGCUCAGUUCGCUGUUCCCACUUUCCAGGCCAGCCUCCGCAGCGCCGUUCCAGUAACAAGCGCCUUAGGGCACUCUAGUUUGCGCAAAAAAAAGAAAACCGAAGGAGGGCUCGUCCGGGAUUUGAACCCGGGACCUCUCGCACCCGAAGCGAGAAUCAUACCCCUAGACCAACGAGCCGACGUGUGACAGGGACUGCGGACGCCUUUAGAGGUCGUACCAGGCUUUCUGCGGUCCUAGGGCCACGACUCACAGGGGAAUGGUUCUGGCACGCGCUUAGGGACCACUCGCCCCGAUGCCGAAUACUCGGGAGCAGCGGUCCGGGAAUCUCUCUGCUCGCUGGCCGCCAGCUCCGACUCCUCCCAGGAAAUAACGUCGGGGAAGUGAGAGGGAGUGGUCUCGGCCUCGCCCCCGCGCAGCCCUCUAGUACUGCCUUGAGCGCCCGAGUUCCCGCUCCCUAUGCCCGCUGUCUCGGCGCUAUUCCAUAACCUGGGUUCUCGACUCUCCCCGGCUCCGCCUGCCGUCCUCGGACUCAGCCUCCCGGCGCAGAGAGCUUUGAAGACAAGCGGUGGAGUUACCUGGUUGGGGACAAUUAAUGAUUCCUGAAACCUCUAGGUGAACACCAGCCCGUUUCUGUCCCUGCCUCUAUCCAUCCUCCUGGAGUGACGGGCAGGGCCAACCCCAGGCCAGACUGACUCUUCGAUAGCCCACGGUCUCCCCAGACCGCGUGGUAGUGCCCAGGCAAGGGGAUAACUCCUGGGGCCAAGAAGAUCCACAGAGGUGUCACUGAGAUGAGUGGCUGGCGGCAUGGGGUAGGGGGACCGGCUUUCCAACCUGCGUGAGUGGUGCGAGGCGCCAGGCCACACGACCAGGGCUGCCCCUGACGCCUAAAACCCCUACCAGCUCUGGUCCCAGGACGUCCUGCCUGUGAGAUCAGGUUACCCUUACCCUCCCGUCUAGCUUCCGCUCUCCAGUUACCUCCUAGGAUGUCCGGGAAGGAGACUCUCCUACCUGCCGCCUAAGACCCCCAAAAGGUGUCCCUGGCCAGACAGUGGGGGAGAGCAGCAGAGAACAGCUCAUGCUUUCCUGUUAGUGUCCCAAGCCUUUCAGCAUUUACUUCUACUCUCACCAGCCUGGCUUUAGUGCUCCAGAAAUGUGCCCUGCCCUUCCACACCAGGCUCUCUGGAGACCCCAGGAGAAUGCGCUCUCUUCUGCUCCCACUCUGUCCACAGGGUCCCAGCGCCUACUGCCUCUCUAGCAGGAAACCAGAUGGCGCCAGGCCAGCCAUAUCUCCUGCUAACUCCUAACCCUGACUGCCAGCUUGUGGAGACAAAUGUGGAUAACUAUACGUAAAGGGCUUGGUACAGGAACUGCACACAGAAGAC